UAGGGAAUCGUCGGCAAUGGACGAAAGUCUGACCGCGCGACGCCGCGUGGAGGAAGAAGGCCUUCGGGUUGUAAACUCCUUUUAUGGGGGACGAUUAUGACGGUACCCCAAGAAUAAGGACCUGCUAACUACGUGCCAGCAGCCGCGGUAAUACGUAGGGUCCAAGCGUUAUCCGGAAUUAUUGGGCGUAAAGUGCGCGUAGGUGUUUCGAUAAGUCAGUCGUUAAACCUCACAGCUUAACUGUGAGUGGGCGAUUGAAACUGUUGGAAUUGAGUUACCCAGGGGCAAGCGGAAUUCUCGGAGUAGGGGUGAAAUCCGUUGAUACCGAGAAGAACAUCAAUGGCGAAGGCAGCUUGCUGGGGGAUAACUGACACUGAGGCGCGAAAGCGUGGGUAGCAAACGGG
rnacentral:rRNA from 1 species